AGGGUUUGAUUCUGGCUCAGAAUGAACGUUGGCGGCGUGGAUUAGGCAUGCAAGUCGAACGGGAGUAGCAAUACUCUAGUGGCGAAAGGGACAGUAAUGCGUAGGGACCUACCUCCGGGCUCGGGAUAGCUGCGGGAAACUGCAAUUAAUACCGAAUAACGUCUCCGGACCAAAGGUGUGAGUCCGCCGGGAGAUGGACCUACGUCCUAUUAGCUUGUUGGUGAGGUAACGGCUUACCAAGGCAAUGAUGGGUAGCAGGUGUGAGAGCACGACCUGCGUCACUGGGACUGAGACACUGCCCAGACACCUACGGGUGGCUGCAGUCGAGGAUCUUCGGCAAUGGGCGAAAGCCUGACCGAGCGACGCCGCGUGCGGGAUGAAGGCCUUCGGGUUGUAAACCGCUGUCAGUGAGGAGGAAGGCUCCGUGAAGAACGGGGUUUGACCUAUUCGCAGGGGAAGGGUGGGCUAAGCUCGUGCCAGCAGCCGCGGUAAGACGAGCCACCCAAACGUUAUUCGGAAUUACUGGGCUUAAAGGGUGCGUAGGCGGUGCGGAAAGUAGGGUGUGAAAGCCCUCGGCUCAACCGAGGAAUAGCGCUCUAAACUACCGUGCUUGAGGGAGACAGAGGUAAGCGGAACUUCGGGUGGAGCGGUGAAAUGCGUUGAUAUCCGAAGGAACACCGGUGGCGAAAGCGGCUUACUGGGUCUUCUCUGACGCUGAGGCACGAAAGCUAGGGUAGCAAACGGGAUUAGAUACCCCGGUAGUCCUAGCCGUAAACUAUGAGCACUUGGUUGAAGGGACCCCCAUAUCCUUUCAGCCGUAGCGAAAGUGUUAAGUGCUCCGCCUGGGGAGUAUGGUCGCAAGGCUGAAACUCAAAGAAAUUGACGGGGGCUCACACAAGCGGUGGAGGAUGUGGCUUAAUUCGAGUCUACGCGAAAAACCUUAUCCUAGUCUUGACAUGCACGGAUUAACUCCUGGAAACAGGAGCCAUGCCUUCGGGUACAACGUGCACAGGUGCUGCAUGGCUGUCGUCAUCUCGUGUCGUGAGAUGUCGCGUUAAGUCGCUUAACGAGCGAAACCCUUGUCUCUAGUUGCCAGCGAGUCAUGUCGGGGACUCUAGAGAGACUGCCGGUGUUAAACCGGAGGAAGGUGGGGAUGACGUCAAGUCCUCAUGGCCUUUAUGAUUAGGGCUGCACACGUCCUACAAUGCUGCGUAUAAAGGGAAGCAAACUCGCGAGAGCCAGCAAAUCCCAAAAAACGCAGCCCAGUUCGGAUUGCAGGCUGCAACCCGCCUGCAUGAAGCCGGAAUCGCUAGUAAUCGCGGGUCAGCAUACCGCGGUGAAUGUGUUCCUGAGCCUUGUACACACCGCCCGUCAAGCCACGAAAGUGGGGGGCAUCCGAAGUCGCCGAGCGAACCCGCAAGGGACGCAAGCGCCGAAGAUGAACUCCGCGAUUGGGACUAAGUCGUAACAAGGUA
rnacentral:rRNA from 1 species